AAUGUGAGCACUUUCAUGCUCGGAAAACUAUGGCCCUUUGGAAACAAUACGCCAUUUGAUAGGGUGCAAACUGGGCCCUCAUCAGAUGCAAACCCAAUGGAGAAAGGAAACGAAUCCUGAAUCUCGUACUCUCUAACACGAAAUAUGGGGCUGAGCAUCGCACAUUGAAGAGCACAUCCACGUGCAACACACUCACUAGCAUUUAUUGUCCUCCCCGGUUCUUUUCUGAAAACAGAAUUUAAAAUUCUUCCCAUAGCUGGAAUUCGAGAACCUGAUCCUACAAGCUCAAGAGUAUGAAUCCUUUCAGCAGUCAAACCAGAAUCAAGUAAAGCUUUACGACAAGGAAUGCUUAUCUUCUCCAACAAAUCUGAUGAAAGCUUCUCAAAGUCUUCUCUUUUGAUGAAACCUUUUACAUCUUUCUCAUCCAUUAAGCA
rnacentral:misc_RNA from 1 species